rnacentral:rRNA from 1 species
UACAGAGGUCCCGAGCGUUGUUCGGAUUCAUUGGGCGUAAAGGGUGCGUAGGCGGUCUGCUAAGUUUGAUGUGAAAUCCCGGGGCUCAACCCUGGAAUUGCAUUGAAUACUGGUGGACUAGAGUACUGGAGAGGAAACUGGAAUUUACGGUGUAGCAGUGAAAUGCGUAGAGAUCGUAAGGAAGACAAGUGGCGAAGGCGAGUUUCUGGACAGUAACUGACGCUGAGGCGCGAAGGCGUGGGGAGCGAACGGG